rnacentral:rRNA from 1 species
UACCCGCAGCACAAGUGGUGGUCAUUAUUAUUGGGCCUAAAGCGUCCGUAGCUGGCCUGUUAGAUGCCUGGGUAAAUCGAUGCGCUCAACGCAUCGAACUCCGGGUAGACCGGCAGGCUUGGGACCGGGAGAGGCGUGAGCUACUCGAGGGGUAGGGGUAAAAUCCUGUAAUCCUUCGGGGGAGGACCAGUGGCGAAGGCGUCACGCUAGAACGGCUCCGACAGUGAGGGACGAAGCCCUGGGGCGCAAACCGG